GUCAAUGAGAGCUUCCCUUUCCCAAUUGCUUUGUCCUGGAAAGGACCUUCUCCAGAUGCCCAAAAUGGAGCUGCUGAAAAUCAACAGGGGAUCCUAUACCAAGUGUGAAAGCUUUGACAUUCUACAGAUCUGGCACAUUCUCGAUUGAUGUACAGUAUGCUGAUGUCAGUGAACUACAGGCACCUUCAAAAAUCAGUACUUACACGAUUGGUCCUUUCCAAUCUGGGAAGGGCGAACGUGCAAAGCUGAAGGUCGCUUGAAUCUGCAUGGUAUUGUUUCUGUUGAGUCAGCAACUCUUCUAGAAGAAGAGGUGGAAGUACCAGUUGUUAAAGAACAAUUAAAAGAAUCAACCAAAAUGGAAACUGAUGAUAUUCCUGCCCAAGAUUCCUCUGAAAUUGAUGUUAACAUGCAAGAUGAUAAAGUCACAUCAGAUACUUCUGAGAAUCAUGUCCCAGAAUCUGGAGACAAACCAGUUCAAAUGGAGACUGAUGCUAAGGCUGAGGCCCCAAAGAAAAAGGUCAAGAAAACAAAUGUACAAGUCUCAGAAUUGGUUUAUGGAGCCUUGUCACCUGCCGUGUACAGAAGGCGGUGGAAAAAGAAUUUGAAAUGGCAUUGCAGGAUCGUAUAAUGUAAGAAAAUUUCCCGUUCCCAAAAAAUCCUCGAGGUGACGGGGAUGGGUCUAUAGCCUUGGAUGACGGGGAUGAUGAGACCCUAUUCCCCGCCCCGUUGCCAACAAGAUAUAGGGAGUAUUUUGGCCGACAAGACCCUAUUCCCAGCCCCCGCCCCCGUUGCCAACAAGAUAUAGGGAGUAUUUCUGCCAACAAGACCCUAUUCCCUGCCCCCGUUGCCAAAAGAUAUACGGAGUAUUUUGGCCGACGUGACCCUAUUCCCAGCCCCCGCCCCCAUUGCCAAGCCAAGCCAACAAGAUAAGGAGUAAUGUCAAACAACUACUAGAGUAAUGUCAAUCAACAAGAUAGGGAGUAAUGUCAAUCAACUAGAUAGGGAGUAAUGUCAAACAACUACUUGAGUAAUGUCAAACAGCUACUAGGGAGUAAUGUCAAUCAACAGGAUAGGGAUUAAUGUCAAUCAACCACUAGGAAAGGAAAAGAGAGAGCAUGGAGAGAUUGUAGUCAUAGGUACGCAGCUCCCUCCCCUAUAGAAUCUGUGGUAGAAUAGAAUCUGCAGGUAAAAAAUUAACAAUUUUAUUUUUGUAUGAUUUUUUGGUAGUAUAAUGUUUGAGAUUGUGGAGUUUUUAA